ACGGUAGUUGGUCCUGUUCAGGUACCAAUUAUACCAACCUAUACAUUUCGUCUUGGACAUAAACCGGAACCAUGGAGCAUAAGUUUCAUUCUGGUUUAGAUUCUAGCCUAUUACACUUGUAUCGGCAUAUUUGGAGAUAUUUCACUUGUACCCGCCGAAAAUGAAGUUGUAGUCAAAACCUGGAUAACUUUGUUUUUCCCUCGACACUAUGGUCUCUGUCUCUUCCUGUCUCUUUUCCCUCCAUUUUGGGCCCCUGCAAUUAAACGUAAGAAGAAAUAGAGGUUAUCUAAAUCUCUAUUUUGGUGUUUCGCUAGUACUAUCGAUGAUGAAACAGACAAUAAUGAGAGAAAGAGCAGCAAUGAAAACAAAAAAUUGAAAUAAAAUAAUUAGGGUAAUCGUUUUAUCCUUACAAGCUAUAGGGUUUUUAAUGAUUUGUUGGGUUUAAAAAUUAUAGGCCGACAAUAAAUUUUGCAUAAUAAGUUCAGCCCAAAAAAAAAACUCAAAUUGGUAUAAUAUUUUAUAAAAAUAUUAAAUUGUUGAAAUGUUAUUAAUUAAUUGAAAAGAGACAUAAAUAAUGUGAGAAAAAUGGUCUAUAAAAUAAUUUCUCCAUGGACGAAUGUAUAAUAAUUUAAUGUCUUUAAAUUUUGAUAAAGUGGUAAAAUUUUAUUAGUGCAUAAAAAUCUUUAGAUUAUCCUUAUCUAAGUUAUUCCCUAAAAAGAAACAAAUCUUUUUUUUAUUCAUUAAUUAGAUAGAAAGGAAAUAAAAAGCUAAAAAUAUUGAGGUUGCAUAAUGAAUCAUCAGUACCUAAAUGAGGGCUCAAACUGUACAUACCAGCACUAACCUGCAAGGCAUAGAAGGGACGAAUUAACUUUUUUCCUUCUAAACAAAAAACACAGAAACAUCAUAGAAAAAAAAAAAGAAGAGAGAGCCGUUCAUCUUCAACUCUCUGCAAAUCCUAAAAACACAUUAUGAGCUUACCAUCCAAAUCAUCUUCAACCCUCAUCCCUCACCAUCACCAUAGUCAUUCACCCAUUACCUUACGAUAAUCAACACAACCUCAUUACCAUCAUUUUCCAAAGCUCCACCUAUUUCUAAACCCAUCACCAUUUCCCUCAACCUUCACUAACUCCAACCUUCAUCACCAAAUUCCAGCAUUACCAUUAUGCUCAUUCCUUCCCGUCACUUAAACCUUGAACCCUCACCAACCUAAUUAAUAAUAGCCCACUGCCUCUGCCAUUUACAACAUCGACCAGCCCUCUCCAUCACCAUCUCAACCCACGACUCUUACCACCUAAAGCUCCCACAAACAACACCCUCAAAAUCGCAUCGAAACCCACUGCCUCUUGCAUCAACGUGACUGAACCAUAGUCACCAUAUCGUUUGUAGCGGCGCUCAGUUUCUCUUCUUUUUUUUUUUUUUUUGUAG
rnacentral:lncRNA from 1 species